GGUAGAGUGGCCGABAGUUAGGCGGCAGGCUGUAGUCCUGCUAACAUGGGUUUAAGUCUUGUUUCUAUCA
rnacentral:tRNA from 1 species